GAAAAGAAACCAACAGGGAUUGCCCUAGUAACGGCGAGUGAAGCGGCAAUAGCUCAAAUUUGAAAGCUGGCCUUCGGGUCCGCAUUGUAAUUUGUAGAGGAUGCUUUGGGGUGGCCGCCUGUCUAAGUUCCUUGGAACAGGACGUCAUAGAGGGUGAGAAUCCCGUAUGUGACAGGAAAUGGCGCCCUAUGUAAAGCUCCUUCGACGAGUCGAGUUGUUUGGGAAUGCAGCUCUAAAUGGGAGGUAAAUUUCUUCUAAAGCUAAAUACUGGCGAGAGACCGAUAGCGCACAAGUAGAGUGAUCGAAAGAUGAAAAGCACUUUGGAAAGAGAGUUAAAAAGCACGUGAAAUUGUUGAAAGGGAAGGGCUUGCAAUCAGACUUGUCCAAACCGUUCGGCCGGUCUUCUGACCGGUUUACUCGGUUUGGACAGGCCAGCAUCAGUUUCGGCGGCCGGAUAAAGGCUCUGGGAAUGUGGCCUCCACUUCGGUGGAGGUGUUAUAGCCCAGUGUGUAAUACGGCCAGCCGGGACUGAGGUCCGCGCUUCGGCUAGGAUG
rnacentral:rRNA from 1 species